rnacentral:rRNA from 1 species
UACGGAGGGGAGCUGCGUGUUGAAUUGAUCUGGGCGAAAGCGUGCGCAGGCGGCGCGUUAAGACAGGUGUGAAAGCCCCGAGCUUAACUUGGGAAUUGCGCUUGUGACUGGCGUGCUGGAGUGUGGCAGAGGGAGGUGGAAUUCCACGUGUAGCAGUGAAAUGCGUAGAGAUGUGGAGGAACACCGAUGGCGAAGGCAGCCUCCUGGGCCAGCACUGACGCUCAUGCACGAAAGCGUGGGGAGCAAACAGG